rnacentral:rRNA from 1 species
GACGAACGCUGGCGGCGUGCUUAACACAUGCAAGUCGAACGAAGAGCGAUGGAAGCUUGCUUCUAUCACUCUUAGUGGCGAACGGGUGAGUAACGCGUAAUCAACCUGCCCUUCAGAGGGGGACAACAGUUGGAAACGACUGCUAAUACCGCAUACGAUCCAAUCUCGGCAUCGGGACUGGAUGAAAGGUGGCCUCUAUUUAUAAGCUAUCACUGAAGGAGGGGAUUGCGUCUGAUUAGCUAGUUGGAGGGGUAACGGCCCACCAAGGCGAUGAUCAGUAGCCGGUCUGAGAGGAUGAACGGCCACAUUGGGACUGAGACACGGCCCAGACUCCUACGGGAGGCAGCAGUGGGGAAUCUUCCGCAAUGGACGAAAGUCUGACGGAGCAACGCCGCGUGAGUGAUGACGGCCUUCGGGUUGUAAAGCUCGGUUAAUCGGGACGAAUGGUUCUUGUGCGAAUAGUGCGAGGAUUUGACGGUACCGGAAUAGAAAGCCACGGCUAACUACGUG